rnacentral:rRNA from 1 species
GAUGAACGCUGGCGGCGUGCCUAAUACAUGCAAGUCGAGCGAACAGACGAGGAGCUUGCUCCUCUGACGUUAGCGGCGGACGGGUGAGUAACACGUGGAUAACCUACCUAUAAGACUGGGAUAACUUCGUGAAACCGGAGCUAAUACCGGAUAAUAUAUUGAACCGCAUGGUUCAAUAGUGAAAGACGGUUUUGCUGUCACUUAUAGAUGGAUCCGCGCCGCAUUAGCUAGUUGGUAAGGUAACGGCUUACCAAGGCAAUGAUGCGUAGCCGACCUGAGAGAGUGAUCGGCCACACUGGAACUGAGACACGGUCCAGACUCCUACGGGAGGCAGCAGUAGGGAAUAUUCCGCAAUGGGCGAAAGACUGACGGAGCAAGGCCGCGUGAGUGAUGAAGGUCUUCGGAUCGUAAAAAUCUGUUAUUAGGGAAGAACAAAUGUGUAAGUAAAUAUGCACGUAUUGACGGUACCUAAUCAGAAAGCCACGGCUAACUACGUG